rnacentral:rRNA from 1 species
ACGGGUGAGUAAUGUCUGGGAAACUGCCUGAUGGAGGGGGGAUAACUACUGGAAACGGUAGCUAAUACCGCAUAACGUCGCAAGACCAAAGAGGGGGACCUUCGGGCCUCUUGCCAUCAGAUGUGCCCAGAUGGGAUUAGCUAGUAGGUGGGGUAACGGCUCACCUAGGUGACGAUCCCUAGCUGGUCUGAGAGGAUGACCAGCCACACUGGAACUGAGACACGGUCCAGACUCCUACGGGAGGCAGCAUG